GUACCCGGUCCGGGUCGGCUGGGCUGCCCGCCGCUCCGCGCGCCCGGGCGGUCGCAGGUCGCGCCUGCUUUGGCCCCGGCGGGUUCGGCAUCCGAGCCUGGCAGGGGCCAAUAGACAGGGCCUCUGGAGUGCAGUGGCGUGAUCUCGGCUCACUACAGCGUCUGCCUACCGUGUUCAAGCGAUCCUCCCACCUCAGCCUGUUGAGCAACCGGGACCCCAGGUGCACACUCCACCACGCCCAGCUAAUUUUUUUGUGUUUUGGGUAGAGAGGGGGUCUCACUGUGUUGUCCAAGCUGGUCUCGAACUCCUGAUCUAAAGCGAUCUGCCUGCCUUGGCCUCCCAAAGUGCGAGGACUACAGGCGUGAGCCACCGCGCCUGGCCUGAAGCAGUUUUUCCUUAGACUGUAGUUGGAGGGGGUGAGACCACGUGGAGUGGUUGGCAGACAGGCAGGCACCCUUUGAGGCCAAAAGGGCGCUUGAGACAGAGCCAGCAGGCGAGCGGGCCGCCCAGGUCCCUGGCCCCCUGCUGCCAGUAUGAAGGUCCCACCAAGCCUCUGCUCCAACCAGGGGAACCGUCAUGGUUGGGAACAGCCAAGGUGAGGAAUUCUGUGGGUCACACCCCCUGAAAACCACUGGCCUCCGCCGGGCGCGGUGGCUCACGCUUGUUAUCCCAACACUUUGGGAGGCCCAGGCGGGUGGAUCACGAGGUCAGGAGUUC
rnacentral:lncRNA from 1 species